AAUCAACGCUGGCGGCGUGCCUAACACAUGCAAGUCGCGCGCGAAAAGGGGGGCAACCCCCGAGUAAAGCGGCGAGCGGGUGAGUAACACGUGGGUAAUCUACCUUCGAGUGGGGAACAACAUCGGGAAACUGGUGCUAAUUCCGCAUGACAUCGUCGGGGCUUCGGUUCCGACGCUCAAAGCUGGGGAUCGUAAGACCUAGCGCUUGAAGAUGAGCCCGCGUCCGAUUAGCUAGUGGCGGGGUAAUAGCCCACCAAGGCUCCGAUCGGUAGCCGGCCUGAGAGGGCGGACGGCCACACUGGAACUGAGACACGGUCCAGACUCCUACGGGAGGCAGCAGUGGGGAAUUUUUCGCAAUGGGGGCAACCCUGACGAAGCAACGCCGCGUGGGGAUGAAGGUCUUCGGAUUGUAAACCCCUGUCGACCGGGACGAAUGUAGAACGGCCUAAUACGCCGAGCUAUUGACUGUACCGGUGGA
rnacentral:rRNA from 1 species